ensembl:lncRNA
AUGUGCUUUUCUUCUGACAGACAUCUGUUGGUUUUGGAGAAGGAGCAGCAGCCGGAGGUAAUAAGGGUCCACCACAACGAUGAUGAUGAUGAUGAUGAUGAUGAAGGCAGUCAUAGUUUCAGCAGUGAUGAUAUCACUAGAGACACGAGCUCUCCUGAUUGGUCGGUUCAGUGUCCCUCAGCAGAAUCUGCAGAGAUGCUGAGACUCAGCUCUUCAUCCGGCUGCUCCAUGUCUCCGUCUCCUCCACCCAGAGCAGCAGCAGCUCCCCCUGCGGGCCGGAGGAUCACACAGAUCCACAGCCGGAGACUCAGAGCUCAUCCUGCAGAGACUCCCAGACCGAAACACCCACCUGAAGUGAUGCAUUGUGGGUCAGAUUGGAUCAUAGAUCUCACUGCAGGUCUGCACACUUCCAGAAGCAGUCUAAAGUUGUUACUGACACUGAAUCACUAGGGGGCGCCGUCUGCAUUAUGAGACCUGCUGCUUGUCUCUGCUUUAUUUCAGAAGUAUUCCAGCUUUGAUUGACAGGUGUUGGUGCACAGAUGUCAUGUGAUCACUGAUGCAGACUGGAUCUCCAGCAGCGCAGCUUCAUCUCUGGUGAUCGUGAACAGGUUCAGUGUUUGCAGACGCAGACGCAGGUGCAGGACUGUUAUGUUCUGACAAACACUGCAGCAUUUCUGUCUUCAGAAACUCCACAGGCUCCCAGUCUUUUGACCAUUUUGGACAGAAUUUUGUAAGAUGAUUUUUGUGCACAUCCAAAUUUAUGUUGUUAAUAUUUGGAAAAUGGAGGAUGGAAAAUUGUUAAUAAAGACAAAUAGCAAAUGAAAAAAUGGAAUAUCUGGAAUAUCCUAUAUUAUAAUAAAGAACAAAUGUACACUACCAUUUAAAAGUUUGUGGCCAGCAAGAUAAAAAAAAAAAGUAUGCAUUUAAUUGCAUUAAACGAUGGCCUUAGUAAGAAUAUGAUAGUUCUGUAAAAUAAUAAAAUAAAAUAAAAAUUAAUUAAAUGUAAUUAAAAAAAUAAUAAAAGUAAAAAAAUAUUUAGAAUAAUAAUAAAAUUUAAUUAAAAAAAUGUACUGUAAUUAAAAAAUAAUAAAUGUAAAAGUUCAGUCCCCAACCUUAACUUAACAGUAGUUAGAAUUUUUUUAAUCUAUUUUGAUUUAUUUUGCAAUUUUACAGUAUUGAAUAUAAUUACAGAUAUUUGAUUGGGAAUCUUUUUGGUUUCUCUGCUCAUCUUUGUGAAGGGCUCUUUAGUCUUGAAACUGUAAGAUCUCUUUCUCUGUUGUCAGUAACUAGGGAAAACAGCCCUGUUUAUAUUUAUAAAUAAAUAAAAAAGCCUGCUGUUAUCAUUGUUUUUGACCCAUAUUAUCUAAUAAAUAAGCUUAUGUCACCAAACUUUUAGAUACCAACUAAACUUUCAAUUCUCUAUUCCAAUUUCGAUACUACAGCAAAAACUACUACCCUAAUAAAAUAUAAUGUUUAAAUAUUAUUACAGACAGCAAAUAAGAACAAAUGAACAAAUUACAAACAACAGCACAACUGAAUAUAUAGCACAAAGAUACAAAUGAAACGAUGCUUUAGGAAAAACAUCAGACAGGCUGAAUGAAAAUGCAAAUUUAGUCUCUGCCAGCAGGUGGCGCUUAUGGAACAGCAGUAAUGUUCCUUGGUUACCACUAUAAACAAAGCAGCACAGUGAUUAUUAACACUACUUUAAAUGCAUUAUACAAAGGCAAGAUGAAAAGAAAACGCCAUGUUUUCUAAUAUUUCCACACAAAUUUUGAAAAAAUGAUUGCAAUGCAGUUUGUGUGUGCCCUGAAUAGAAAUUGGUUUAAAUAAAACAAAAACAUCCAGUCAACCUGUAGGUGCAUCUGUACUGUGUUAAAUUAAAUAUAGAUUAAUAAUUGUUAAAACUACAAAGUAACUCACCAAGAUAGGGAUUUUGACAUACUUUUGUAGGUAUUUGUCUGUUCAUGUGCAAGAAUGCACAUAGAACACAGCGCGCCUAGGAAUGAAUGUAGUUGUCUUUCGCAUUUGGUUCGAAUGCUUUAAAAUUCCUUUGAGUUUUUUUUUUUAAUUAGCAAGGGUUAAAAACAUGUGCAAAUGACAAACUUAGUGACGAUGCAGAAGUGGCCCAAUCGGGCCAGUAACAAAUUCGUCGACUGUCCCCAGGCCAUCGGACAGUCUUUAUUGUCAAGCACUAUGAGUUAAAACACAUUAAUGAUGGAUUUGUUUCUUACAAAAACACAGCUUUUCUCUUCACAAGAUGUUAAUUGAUGGACUGGAGUGCUGUGGACUACUUGAAUUAUUGUGAUGUUUUUAUCAGCUGUUUGGAUUCUGACGGCACCCAUUCACUGCAGAGCAUCCAUUGGUUAUGCAAUGCUACAUUUCUCCAAAUCUCUGUAAGUAAUUUGUAAUAUUUAUUUGCAAUUAUAUUCAUCACAGUGUUUCGUAAUUUCCAUGAUGAAUUCCUCAUACUCCCUCCUCCCCAAAUGUGAUUUACCGUGUUUUUUCUGGAUGAUGUGGGCUAGUUUUUGGCCAUCAUGGGAAUCAAAUAGUGGCGGGCUCUCCCUCCUGCAAAAACUCUUCACAGUGACUCAUCUGUCCAGCUGCUGGAUGGGUCGAGAACAAAAAGUUCUUAUGUACCAGCUGGAGAUAGCGCAUACUUUCCUGAUGGGCACCGCUUCACAUCACACACACACACACAGGCUUAUUCCUCCCAAGUUAUGCAUCCACUUUAUAUUUCCCAUGAGAGAAAUAUGUUGGGAAUUACCCUUCAAAUUCCUGAAACACAAUCUUUGAUUACUGCAUUAAAAAGGACAGUUUAGAAAGGAAAUAAUGAUCAUUGCAAAAUAAAUUGAAAUGAUAUCAUUGCCUUAUCAAGUCAGUUUUGGUUUACAGAGCUUCAUAAAAGGAAAUGAGGAGUCUUUGAUAUUUGUACUGUUUUUUUGUUGUUGUUGUUGUUGUUUUAAAAAAAGAAAACCAAUACAAUUAAAGGACUGAUUCACCCCAAAAUAACAAUAUUUUCAUAAUUUACCCUUAUGUAACUCCAAACAUGGGUGACUUUCUUCCAUGGAACGCAAAAGAAAAUAGUUUGCAAAAUGUUUACAAUUUCCUUAAUUCAUUCAAAAAUACAUAAAAAGAAAUCCAUAACCUCUUCUACAAAUAUAAUGUUUAAAUUCCUAAAUUAGAAUUCAUUUUGAAGUUUUUAGAAGUAUAACUGUCAGGGUGAUGAAUAGUAUAAUAAUUAGUUAAAGGUGUUCGAUUAAAAUGAUGAAUUUCUUGGGCAAAAAACCCAGGGGUCAUUCACACAGAAUUCGGUUUUGCAUUCCACCGCGUGGCUUUUCCACGUAAAUAUGCACUCGUCGAUGAAUUACUUUAACCAUUGCACACACGUUUCACAUCUUUUGCAGUGUAUUUGCACUUGACAAAGCAUUUUUAUAAUGCAGUGUUCAAGUUAAAAGAAGUUCAACUUUUGAAAAAGCGCACCACUAGACCUUGUGGUUUUUUGUUGUAAUUAAAGCCUCACAUCUUGCAUUUUUAAACGCAAAACCACAUUCUGUGUGAACAACCCCUUGAGGGGAUUUUGCACUCCACUGUGCUGCUUUUAAAAUAGUUUUUUCUUUGUAAAUGCAUUAGAUGGAUGUCUUUGACCGGUGCACUUGCAGUACUCAAAUUAAAAGUUAAACUCGUAAUAAAUGUGUCCUCAGACCUUUUUUUUCCCAAUCAGCUGUCCUGCAUUUUUAAAUGCAAAAACGUGUUCUGUGUGAAAGACCCCUAAGUAGUUCAGAACAUAUUAUAAUUUAGGAAAAUAAGCAGUGAAGCAGGUUUGUUGUUGUUUUGUUUGUCAAAUUACAGUGAUGUGGUGUGCAGAAACCUAAGAACGAGCGUGAAUAAACUCAUUGAAAACACUAUUGAACAAGAUAAGUUUAGUAGUUGCAUGGAAUGUUGUUACACCUUAAUGAUCCUAAAGUGCAUUUUUAACACCUGGUUUUGAAAGUAACGCCAUUCAAUAGAAAAUAAUGUGUUUUUACAGAUAAAUACUUGUACGAUAAUUUCACCUGUUCAUCAU